GCUGCGUCGUUGAGUGUCACUUCCCAAGCAGCAUAAUUUACUGCGGGUUCAAUUAUAUACAUGGUGUGACUGAUGGCAGAUGACUUAAUAAUAAUAAUAAUGGUUCGGGGCUUUAAGUCGCGGUUCCUUACAGCUAUCAUCAAGACCGACGUGGUCGGUCUGUGGGCAGGUGAGUUGUCGGUGAAGUGCUUCAUUUCGCGGAUGCCCACAAAGAAAACAGCAGUGAUCUUCCUGUCCAUCCCUAUGCACUUGCAUCCUUGGUGGGCUGUUUCGUAGGAAUGUCUGCACAACUCUCUGCGAAGCCUGUCAAUGUAACCAUAACCCCAUGCGCGGACAGCCUGUUGUCAUCUACCAGCAUGCAGAUCGCACGAUAUGUAUAUGAAACACAGCGUUUAGAUCCAACAACAAUCCACGAGGGUGAUUUCCCUUUCCUUCAACGUACCUGGACCUUCCAUUCAUCGGGCAAGUAGCAUCACGUGCAAGGUGUGAUAUUGCAGUGCAGCAACAACUUCAUUUACAUGAUGAGGAGUUUCAUCGCCAGGGGAGCGAUACACCCAGGGAGUCGCCCCACAGGGAGGACGGAAACUCUACAGUGGCACUGCAUUUUCUAAUGGUCUCCUAGACAUUACUUUCGCUCGGAUUUAACUGGCAUGCUUCAUACCUGAACCCGUCCGGAAUCCUACUCACUAAAUGCAUGUGCAUAUAUGAGAUUGAUAUAUAUCUGCA